AUGAACGCUGGCGGCGUGCCUAAUACAUGCCAGUCGAGCGCACAGACGAGGAGCUGGCUCCUCUGACGUUAGCGGCGGACGGGUGAGUAACACGUGGAUAACCUACCUAUAAGACUGGGAUAACUUCGGGAAACCGGAGCUAAUACCGGAUAAUAUAUUGAACCGCAUGGUUCAAUAGUGAAAGACGGUUUUGCUGUCACUUAUAGAUGGAUCCGCGCCGCAUUAGCUAGUUGGUAAGGUAACGGCUUACCAAGGCAACGAUGCGUAGCCGACCUGAGAGGGUGAUCGGCCACACUGGAACUGAGACACGGUCCAGACUCCUACGGGAGGCAGCAGUAGGGAAUCUUCCGCAAUGGGCGAAAGCCUGACGGAGCAACGCCGCGUGAGUGAUGAAGGUCUUCGGAUCGUAAAACUCUGUUAUUAGGGAAGAACAAAUGUGUAAGUAACUAUGCACGUCUUGACGGUACCUAAUCAGAAAGCCACGGCUAACUACGUG
rnacentral:rRNA from 1 species